UACGGGGGGGGUAAGCGUUGUUCGGAAUUACUGGGCGUAAAGGGCGCGUAGGCGGCCUUCUAAGUCGAACGUGAAAUCCCCGGGCUCAACCCGGGAACUGCGUCCGAGACUGGAAGGCUUGAAUCCGGGAGAGGGAUGUGGAAUUCCAGGUGUAGCGGUGAAAUGCGUAGAUAUCUGGAGGAACACCGGUGGCGAAGGCGGCAUCCUGGACCGGUAUUGACGCUGAGGCGCGAAAGCCAGGGGAGCAAACGGG
rnacentral:rRNA from 1 species